UGUAACGUCAACCACGGACCCGCCCAAAC
rnacentral:sRNA from 1 species